UCCAGACUCCUACGGGAGGCAGCAGUGGGGAAUUUUGGACAAUGGGCGCAAGCCUGAUCCAGCAAUGCCGCGUGAGUGAAGAAGGCCUUCGGGUUGUAAAGCUCUUUUGUCAGGGAAGAAACGGGCCGGGCUAAUACCCUGGUCUAAUGACGGUACCUGAAGAAUAAGCACCGGCUAACUACGUGCCAGCAGCCGCGGUAAUACGUAGGGUGCAAGCGUUAAUCGGAAUUACUGGGCGUAAAGCGUGCGCAGGCGGUUGUGCAAGACCGAUGUGAAAUCCCCGGGCUUAACCUGGGAAUGGCAUUGGUGACUGUACGGCUAGAGUGUGUCAGAGGGGGGUAGAAUUCCACGUGUAGCAGUGAAAUGCGUAGAGAUGUGGAGGAAUACCGAUGGCGAAGGCAGCCCCCUGGGAUAACACUGACGCUCAUGCACGAAAGCGUGGGGAGCAAACAGGAUUAGAUACCCUGGUAGUCCACGCCCUAAACGAUGUCUACUAGUUGUCGGGUCUUCAUUGACUUGGUAACGCAGCUAACGCGUGAAGUAGACCGCCUGGGGAGUACGGUCGCAAGAUUAAAACUCAAAGGAAUUGACGGAANNNGA
rnacentral:rRNA from 1 species